ACCCACUCCUCCUCUCCACUCGACUCUUUCCCCCCUGAGCCACCAACUCUUUUCCCCAACUCGACCCACUGCCGACUCCACCUCUCCUCCUCCAUCUUCGCCGAAUCCUCCUCUCCACCGCCGUUUCCGUAUCCUCCUCCCGCCCUCUCAACCCACCACCGCCGCCGACUCCUUCCUCUCCCGCGGAGAUAUGAAUCCGCAGCUGACUCCUUCCUCUCCAUUUGGUUUUCUGCUGCUGUUUAGAUUAGGGUUUGAUUCCAUUGAAUUAGGGUUCAACUGAUUGGAUUAGGGUUUGAUUAGGGUGGUUGGAUUAGGUUUUGAUUAGGGUUGGAUUAGGGUUCUUGCCGCAACUGUUGUUUUGUAUUGGAUUGGAUUAGUGUUCGUUUGGAAAUUCGGGUUAGAUUAGGUAGUAGCAAAAUAUGAUAUGGUUCUGGUUGAUGUUGUCUGACCGACUGACCCUGGGUUAGAGCCAAGUUGGAUUAGAGCCCAGUUUUUGUAAAUAUGGUCCAUUUAUCUAAUAUGGUUCUAGCUGUGUUUAUAGAUAUGGUUCUAGCAAAAUGUAGCACAUGGGCAGAUAUGGUCCAUUUAUAGUAGAUAUGGUUCUAGCUAUGUUUGCCAUUUAUAGUAGACACGAGCACAUGGGCAGAUAUGAUCCAUUGUAUAGCAAGUUGUUUUGCCAUCUAUAGUAGUAUUCCAAAUUGAGGCCCUCGCGAAGACAACUAGUAAAUAUUCUACUAUUUUUAAGGGUGCCAAUUGCCAUUGCCAACUAACCUACCAAAUUAAUUAAGUGUUGUUGACCACAAGUGCAUUGCUUUUUGUUUUCUCAGUUUUUCCUAGAAAUAAGCAGGCUCUGUUCCAAUUACACCACUUUCAUGUCUAAAAAACUUGGCUCUGUUCCAACUAGUUGAUUGACCUACAUCUCUUUCAUGUCUAAAAACUUGGCUUUGUUCCAACUAUGUCCAGUCCUGUUUAUGCUAACUUGUUGUUUAAUGACAAUGGUACUUUUCAGAGAGGAGGGGAGGCCGCCACCUCCUGUUGCGCUCUGCCACGCCAAAAAGUGAGAUGGCCGGCUUGGAAUGUUUUGAGUUAUUCGAGAUCAUAAUUGAGAAAUCCUACAGCAGACAGGUGCAGAGGCUGCCUGACAAGUUUGCGAAGAUGCUCCAGGGCCAUGAGCCCCAUAAAGUGAAGUUGCGGGAGGCCGGCCGCGGGCGUCACAGGCUGUGAGACAUGCUGGUGGUGUUGGAUGCUGACAACCACAUGUACCUGGGGCGUGGCUGGGAGCAUUUCGCCUACGCCCGUGACCUGCAGCUCGGACACUUCCUUGUCUUCCGCUACGACAGCUACACCGUGCUCCCCAUGAAGGUGUCGACGGGACCAUGUGCAGCAGGCACUACCAUCACGACGACGAUGCCAGCAAUGGGAGCAGCAGCAGGGAUAAUGAGGAGCAGAGUGGGGAAGAAGAGGAGCAGAGCGGGGAGGUGCAGCCUAUUCUGGCUGACGACGACCUUGCUAUGGUGGUGGCUGACAAUGACCUUGCGAUGGUGGUGGCGGACGAUGACCUCGCGUUUGUGGUGCCUAACGAUGACCUCGUGAUAGUGGUUCCUGACGAUGGCCUCGAGAUGCUUGCGCCUGACGAUGGCAUCGCGAUGGUGGUGGCGCCGGUGAUCCCAUAGCUGGGUGACAGGGCUAGGCAAAUUGUGGUAGAGAAGUACAUCCGUGUUGGCAUUUGCCACUCUAAGCGCAUCAGGAUGACGAAGGAGAAGAAGGAGAAGAAUGAGGAGUGAAGAUGUUAAUAAAUCAAGUGGCAAUGUUAAGCAUGUUAAUCUGAACAUGUCAAUGUUUAGUAUCUCAGGUUUAAGUUUGUUAGUGCAAACUUCUUAAGUAUGACAGUGUCAGCCAAGCUCAGAUUGAAAUUGAUGGGAAUUGAAAUUUUG